ACUGGCAGUCUAGAGUGUGUCAGAGGGGGGUGGAAUUCCACGUGUAGCAGUGAAAUGCGUAGAUAUGUGGAGGAACACCAAUGGCGAAGGCAGCCCCCUGGGAUAACACUGACGCUCAUGUACGAAAGCGUGGGUAGCAAACAGGAUUAGAUACCCUGGUAGUCCACGCCCUAAACGAUGUCAACUGGUUGUUGGGGGAGUGAAAUCCCUUAGUAACGAAGCUAACGCGUGAAGUUGACCGCCUGGGGAGUACGGUCGCAAGAUUAAAACUCAAAGGAAUUGACGGGGACCCGCACAAGCGGUGGAUGAUGUGGAUUAAUUCGAUGCAACGCGAAAAACCUUACCUACCCUUGACAUGUCCGGAAUCCUGCAGAGAUGCGGGAGUGCCCGAAAGGGAAUCGGAACACAGGUGCUGCAUGGCUGUCGUCAGCUCGUGUCGUGAGAUGUUGGGUUAAGUCCCGCAACGAACGCAACCCUUAUCAUUAGUUGCUACGCAAGGGCACUCUAAUGAGACUGCCGGUGACAAACCGGAGGAAGGUGGGGAUGACGUCAAGUCCUCAUGGCCCUUAUGGGUAGGGCUUCACACGUCAUACAAUGGUCGGUACAGAGGGUUGCCAAGCCGCGAGGUGGAGCCAAUCCCAGAAAGCCGAUCGUAGUCCGGAUUGUUCUCUGCAACUCGAGAGCAUGAAGUCGGAAUCGCUAGUAAUCGCGGAUCAGCAUGCCGCGGUGAAUACGUUCCCGGGUCUUGUACACACCGCCCGUCACACCAUGGGAGUGGAAUCUGCCAGAAGUAGGUAGCCUAACCGCAAGGAGGGCGCUUACCACGGUGGGUUUCAUGACUGGGGUGAAGUCGUAACAAGGUAACC
rnacentral:rRNA from 1 species